GGCCUAACACAUGCAGUCGAGCGAGAAAGCCUUCGGGUGAGUAUAGCGGCGGACGGGUGAGUAACGCGUGGGAAUCUACCCAGUAGUGGGGGACAACAGUCGUGAAACGACUGCUAAUACCGCAUACACCCUACGGGGAAAAGGGGGCUUCGGCUCGUGCGCUAUUGGAUGAGCCCCGCGUAAGAUUAGCUAGUAGGUGGGGGUAAAGGCCCACCUAGGCGACGAUCUUUAGCUGGUCUGAGAGGAUGAUCAGCCACACUGGGACUGAGACACGGUCCCAGACUCCUACGGGAGGCAGCA
rnacentral:rRNA from 1 species